GUCCAGGGUAGCCUAGUGGUCAUGGCAUCUGCCCGGUAAGCGGAAGGUCGUGUGUUCAAUUCCCAUCCCUUGACA
rnacentral:tRNA from 1 species